CAAGCCUGAUCCAGCCAUACCGCGUGGGUGAAGAAGGCCUUCGGGUUGUAAAGCCCUUUUGUUGGGAAAGAAAUCCAGCCGGCUAAUACCUGGUUGGGAUGACGGUACCCAAAGAAUAAGCACCGGCUAACUUCGUGCCAGCAGCCGCGGUAAUACGAAGGGUGCAAGCGUUACUCGGAAUUACUGGGCGUAAAGCGUGCGUAGGUGGUUGUUUAAGUCUGUUGUGAAAGCCCUGGGCUCAACCUGGGAACUGCAGUGGAAACUGGACNACUAGAGUGUGGUAGAGGGUAGCGGAAUUCCCGGUGUAGCAGUGAAAUGCGUAGAGAUCGGGAGGAACAUCCAUGGCGAAGGCAGCUACCUGGACCAACACUGACACUGAGGCACGAAAGCGUGGGGAGCAAACAGGAUUAGAUACCCUGGUAGUCCACGCCCUAAACGAUGCGAACUGGAUGUUGGGUGCAAUUUGGCACGCAGUAUCGAAGCUAACGCGGUUAUGGUC
rnacentral:rRNA from 1 species